AUACGUAGGGGGCGAGCGUUGUCCGGAAUGAUUGGGCGUAAAGGGCGCGUAGGCGGCCUGUUAAGUCUGGAGUGAAAGUCCUGUUUUCAAGAUGGGAAUUGCUUUGGAUACUGAUGGGCUUGAGUGCAGGAGAGGUUAUCGGAAUUCCCGGUGUAGCGGUGGAAUGCGUAGAGAUCGGGAGGAACACCAGUGGCGAAGGCGGGUAACUGGACUGCAACUGACGCUGAGGCGCGAAAGUGUGGGGAGCAAACAGGAUUAGAUACCCUGGUAGUCCACACUGUAAACGAUGAAUGCUAGGUGUAAGAGGUAUCGACCCCUUUUGUGCCGGAGUUAACACAAUAAGCAUUCCGCCUGGGGAGUACGGCCGCAAGGUUGAAACUCAAAGGAAUUGGCGGGG
rnacentral:rRNA from 1 species